GACGAACGCUGGCGGCGUGCUUAACACAUGCAAGUCGAACGGUGAAGCGCCUUCCUUUUUGGUGGGUGUGGAUGAGUGGCGAACGGGUGAGUAACACGUGAGUAACCUGCCCCCUUCUUCUGGAUAACCGCAUGAAAGUGUGGCUAAUACGGGAUAUUCUGGGUCUGUCGCAUGAUGGGUCUGGGAAAGAUAUUGUUUCGGUGGGGGAUGGGCUCGCGGCCUAUCAGCUUGUUGGUGGGGUGAUGGCCUACCAAGGCGGUGACGGGUAGCCGGCCUGAGAGGGUGGACGGUCACACUGGGACUGAGACACGGCCCAGACUCCUACGGGAGGCAGCAGUGGGGAAUAUUGCGCAAUGGGCGCAAGCCUGAUGCAGCGACGCCGCGUGAGGGAUGGAGGCCUUCGGGUUGGGAACCUCUUUCGCCAGUGAAGCAGGCCUGCCUCGUUUGUGGGUGGGUUGACGGUAGCUGGAUAAGAAGCGCCGGCUAACUACGU
rnacentral:rRNA from 1 species